UUUCACUGAAACAAGGGGAAAGCUCAAAUGGGGCGUUGGCCCCGAGGCAGCAGUAAAGAAUUUUGUGCAAUAUACGAAGGUAGGACACAGAGAGGGCACCUUUACCUAAUCCGUCAAAUUAAGUGCCAGCAGACGCGGUGAAACUUAAGGGUUAGUCUUAUAGGCAAAAGCGUAAAGGGUGUGAUAGGCCGUCUUAUUUAAGAAGGUAAAUGGAAUUUUUCUGUAACGGUGGAAUGUGUUAAUAGAAAAAAGAACUUUAGACGUGAAGACUAUUUAUCUCUAAGGUUAUAAUGUGGUGGCUAAAACACGAGAGUAUAGGGAGCAAACAGGAUUAGGUAUCCUGGUAGUCUGUACUGUAAAUAAUGAAGAAGAUGUGAAGCAAUCCUAAAAAGUAAAAAUUUUCCGCUUGAGUAGUACGAUCGCAAGAUUAAAAUUCAAAAAACUUGGCUGUUCACUGUUUUAAUUAGAGGAGCGUGUCGUUUAAUUCGAUAGUCCGCGAGAGACCUUACCCAAACUUGAAUCCCUUAUUGACAGGUAUUGCAUGGCCGUCGUCAAUUUGUGUGUUAAACAUAAAACAAAUUUAACCCAGUGGUUUGUCUAUUGGAUGAAGUCAGGUCUUAUUGUCCUAAUGUUUGGGGAUUAGAUGCGCUACAUUUUUUUAUACAAUGGGAAACUUUGAAUGUGAAACCCUAAAAUAAGAGUUCGGAAGGUGCCUGGAAGAUAACGGAAAGUUGGAUUUAAUAGUAAUUGAAAAGUAGAGCGUUUCAAUGAAAUUUACUCAGUGUUAGUACAAAUUGCCCGUCGCCUUUGCUUAGAAAGGUAGUUUGGUUGCCCCUUAAAAGGGUUUCAAAUAUCUCCGAGGUGGAGUAAGUCGUAACA
rnacentral:rRNA from 1 species